UUAGAGAAGCAGGGCUCGAACCUGCACCUGAGAGAUCAAAACCCUCCGUAUUACCAAAUUCUACCACUCUCUA
rnacentral:tRNA from 1 species